rnacentral:rRNA from 1 species
GAGUUUGAUCAUGGCUCAGGAUGAACGCUGGCGGCGUGCCUAAUACAUGCAAGUCGAGCGAACUUCAUAAGAGCUUGCUCUUAUGAAGUUAGCGGCGGACGGGUGAGUAACACGUGGGUAACCUGCCCAUAAGACUGGGAUAACUCCGGGAAAUCGGGGCUAAUACCGGAUAACAUUUUGAACCGCAUGGUUCGAAAUUGAAAGGCGGCUUCGGCUGUCACUUAUGGAUGGACCCGCGUCGCAUUAGCUAGUUGGUGAGGUAACGGCUCACCAAGGCAACGAUGCGUAGCCGA